CGUGCAGCCCGGGUUCGAUCCUCAGCACCACAUACCAACAAAGAUGUUGUAUCCGCCGAAAAUUAAAAAAUAAAUAUUAAAAAAAUAAUAAUAAAGUUUAAAAAAUAAAAAAAUUUAAAAACCCAAAGUAAUAUCUGAUUAUUGCAUAAAUUUUCAGAGAAUACAGACAAGUAAACAUAAUUAAAAUCAUCUUUAAUCUUCCAUUUCUAACUCAUUGGUGUCCACCCUUCCAGGGUUUUCCCUGUGCAUGAAGAUACCAGGGACAAGAGGUGACUGGUCGUCUCCCAAGGUGUCGAACCUCCCCAGGGGCUGUGAAGUGACCCCAAACGCAAUGCCUCUAGUACCUACCACUUAGGACUACUUAUCAAUGAUUGCCUGAAUGAUUAAGAGUUAUAUCUCUAUAAACAACAUGUCUCCGCAUGCCCCUCACUCAGCAGCCCUGCAGGUGCAAUUCCAUGUGGGCCUCCAGGAGGCUGGACCUCCCCCAUCAGGGGGAGGGUACUUCAUCGUCAUUGCUUGCUGUUUCAAUGAUAGAUAAUGGUCUGGUUUUGUAAUCUUCAAUCUGGUUUGUUGUGGACUUUUCUGUUUAACCUCACUGCCUGCAGGGACGCAUAUCUACAACAACAGCUUUGAGCCUGUCAUCUCCUAUAACCAGGCUCUGGUACACACAUGGCUGCAUCCAGCUGGAUCAUUCAUCUCCAAGGAGUGAAAAGUCUGCAGAUUCCCACAAUAGGUACGUACAGUCUUGCCGGUUGUGCUCCCUAGACAACUUGUAACAUAUUAUCAGAGAAAGUAAUAGAGUGCUGAGUUAUUUUUAAGUCCUAGGGCAUUACUUUUAAAGAGGAUAUGUACAUAAAUAGUUUUCUAAGAGGUAGAAGAAAAACAGGUUCAUAGAGUUGGUCGGCACAAAUUACUGGCUGCUGCAGCUGCUUGUUUUUUUGUACAGGGAUUGGACCCAGGGACACACUACCACCGAGCUACACCCCAUCCCCUUUUUAUUUUUUAUUUUGAGACCAAUUCUCUUGAUAAAUGUUCCAGGCUGGCCUUGAUCUUGUGAUCCUCCUGCCUCACUCAGCCCUCCUAAGGCAGGACUGGGAUCCCAAGUGGGGGCUCUCACACCAGCUGUUUCCCUUCACUGUUUACCACUCUACCCUGGCAACAUUAAUUUUCAGAAUUCACGGGGUCUCCCAUGUUAUCCACUUGCUUUGAUAACCUAUAGGGGUUUCAGGGGACAGAAUAGUGAGCUGCCCAACUGGCUAGAGGUGUUCCACAGCUAUAUUUAUAUUAUAUACUAUUGAUGUUGGUGACCAGAACUGGCUUUUGAAGCUCCAAGAAAUUAAGAAAAAGUUAGCCCCCAAAGAAACAGAGGUCUCCAAAAGCGGUUAAGUGCUCAGGCCCCAAGUUAACCAAUAAAUGAAAGAAAAGGAGUGGCAUUUACCUAGUAUCUGCAUGGGCUGGGCAUUGCGGUUAGUAGAUACUGUUAUAAAUAAAACUGCAGAAUCAGUAAUAAUGUCAAAACAAGACUAAACCCCAUGGCUACCAGGCCUCUGUAGAAUGUUCUACAUGUCUGUAUAACCACUUAAUGUACAUUUAGACUCAUAACUACCCACAAGGUGACCUCUAUGCAGCCUGUGAUUUUAUGCAUUAAAUCCGGACCUUUAAGCUGCCUGUCCUCUGCUAGCUCAGUCUUUGAGUGCAGCCUGCCUGAGACUGGCUUAGCUCCUGGCCUGCUCUGAGAUCCCACCAAGUUGGGACCCAAAGAGUAGACUGAGGUCUACUCUCACUUUUUCUUCCUCCUCUUCCCAGCCUAUGAGUGGAGGGGCUUAGUCCCAGUUGCAAGGACAAUGUCUCAAUCACCACAGCUCAUAGAAAGCAACUUGUGCAGGCUUGAAGGCAGCCUGGCCAGAGUGCUGCAGUUUUUUUCAGGAGAAGCAGGUUGAGGUUGAUUUCCUAAGAGCCAAUCUGCAGAAAGCCAGUUUUCAAAUGGCCAAUUCAUAGUUGGUAGAGUUGUAAACUGAAGGACCAAUUUACAAAACAACCAAUUACUUUUUUUCCUCCUUGGUCUUAACUGACCAGUAUUUAUCCUGUCUUUACAAUAGAAUUUGGAAGAAAGGUACCUUGCUUUCUCUCUUCUGCCCUGGAGCUACAACUGAGGAGAAACCGGAAGAGCUAGGGGCUGAGAUCCAGCAGCUUUUGUAGAACUUUCCUCAGAGUGACUUUCUGGGAAUUGACAGAGGGCCUAUUCUAAGUUUCUACCAUCUUCUUUCCAAAGGGAAUUAGUAAAGCUUUGCCAUUUAGUUUUUUUCUUUAUUUUUCUUUUGGUAUUUGGGUUUAAACCCAGGAGCUAUACCACUGAGUUACAUCCUAAACCCUUUAUAAUGUUAAGUCAGAGACUUGCUAAAUUGCCCAGGUUGGCCUUGAACUUGAGAGCCUCCUACCUCAGCCUCCCAAGCUGCUGGGGUUACAGGCAUGUGCUGCUGCAUCCAGCUAGACUUUGCCGUUUCUAAUUUGUCUUUGACAAGUCAGUAUUGGCAAGUUCACAAAAAUUUCCAUCUGUACACACAGAGGAGAAAGCCCUGAGGGGUCAGAUUGGAGAUGCUGGCCUAAAAGAUUGUAGGGAUGUGGUCUCAAGUCAAGCCAUGCCAGUGGCCACCAGGAGCUGGAGGCUCAAGAAGCAGUUUCAACCCCAGAACCUCUGGAGGGAGAGCAGCCCUGUCCAUACCUCAGUUUCAGUCCAGUGACACUACUUUCAGACUUCUGCCCUCCAGAGAGAGUAAACUUUUGCUGUGUUAAGCUACCAGUUGGGGUAAUUUGUUACAGCAACUUUAGGAAACCAACACAGAUUUUUGCCAGUCGGACAAACCACAGAGCUAAGUUGGGGACAGCCUUAGGCCUCGCUGGGCCACCAGCCAGGGUUCUGCAUUUGGGGAUAUCAGAUGGAAAGGCAGAAACAGACUAGCUCUCACAGACAGCAGAGUACAAGCCACAGUGCCUGCUUUUAAUUAACCCCAAACAAUAUAUCCUUCUCAUUACUGUCCAACAAAAUUACAGUUUUCUGAUUUUAUUUUUUUCCAGGAAGGUGCCAUUCAUUCAUUAAUUAACUUAUUUAUUGUGGUACUGGGGACUGAACCCAGGCCCUCAUGCAUACUAGGCCAGUACAUCCCCACCCCAACUUAUAUUUUGGAAUGAAUGCCCCGUGCGGUAGUUCCAGAUACUUGGGAGGCUGAGGCUGGAGGAUCACUUGGGCCCAGGAGUUCCAGACCAGCCUGGGCAACCUAGCAAGACUCUGGGUCAAAAAGGAAAAAGAAAAUUUUUUUUAUAAAGAUGAAAAUAAAUCCCAUAUGAAAUAAAAAAAAAAUUCCAAGGAAAUAAUAUAAAAUGUAGGCAAAUUUCUGAUAUGAUUGUGUGGGUUUUGUUUCGUUUGUUUUUUUUGUACUAGGAAUCGAACCCAGGGGCACUCUACCACUGAGCCACACCCCCAGCCCUUUUCUGUAUUAUAGACACAGGGUGUCACUGAGUUGCUUAGGGACUCGCUAAGUUGCUAAGGCUGGCUUUGAACUCUCGGUCCUCCUGCCUCAGCCUCUCCAGCCGCUGGGAUUACAGAUGUGCACCAUGGCUCCUGGCUGUGACUGUGUUUUAUGCAAUUGUAACCCCCUCCCUCAUGCACUCUGUCCAGUCUUCCCCACACAGCCAGAGUGAUUUGUGAAAAACGCAAUCUGAUCAUGUCAUGAAAUUUAAGAAAAUUAUAAACUAUCAUUUAAUGGGAGGAGAGACAGGCAGUCGGAAUCCAGGAAGGGGCCAAGGAGGCUUUAGCCAUGCAGACAGGGCUCUGGUUGAGAAAGCAUAUUGGAUCCAUGGGUGCUACAGCUUAGAUCUGGGGUGUCCCCCAAAGUCUCAUAUUGAAAGCAUGAUUGCCAGUGCAGCAGGGUUCAGAGAGGAGGCUUCUAGGCAAGGACUGUAUCAUGAGGGCUGUGCCCUCAUCAGUGACUAAUCCACCAAAUGGUAUCAUCAAAUGGAUAGCAUAUCUGUAAGCCCAGGGACUAGGGAGGCUAAGGCAGGAAGACUGCAAAUUUGAGGCCAACCUAAGCAACUCAGCAUUGCCCUAAGCAACCUAGCAAGACCCUGUCUCCAAAUAAAAAAUAAAACAGGCUGCACUGAACCUCUGGGUUCAAUCCUCGGUACCAAAAAAUAAAUAAAUUGACAGCUGAAUGGACUAUUGGGCGGUAGGACCUACUUGGAAAAAGUGGGUCACUGCAGGCAUAUCCUGGAGGGGUUGGUCUCUACCCGGGUCCCUUCCCCUCUCUGUUCUCAGGCUGCCAUGGACGGGGCCACUCUCCUCCACCAAGCCCUUCUGCGAAGAAGCUUCUGCAUUGGAGGCAGCCAGCGCAGACUGAAAGCUGUUAAACCGUGAGCCAAAAUAAACCUUCCCCCUCCAGGUUGUUCAUGUCAGGUAUUUUGGUCACAGUGAGGAGAAGCCAACUAACACACUGAGUAUUUGGUUCAUUGUCAUAUUUCAGUGACUUACUCGGUGUUGCAUACGUGUGCUUUAUACAUUUCAAAUAUCUACACCAUCACCACCAACAGCAAAACAACGUGACGGCUUCCUAACGUUCCUAAGGUAAGGCAGACAGGCAGAAACCUUGACGUGACUGGUGGGGCCUCGUCUGCCUGGACCUGCGGUCCUCGCCUCUCGCCCUCAGUCCCUGCUUCUCAGCCUCCCCAGCCUCCUCUUCCCUUCCUGCAGGCUGCCAGGCUCCCUGCUGGCCGGCUCUUGCCUGUUCCUCCUGCUGUCACCUUCAGAAGGUCGGGGAGCACCGACCCUGCCCCCGAACCUCUCCUUUGCAGCAAGUUCACACCUAUGGUUUACAUUUCUUUGUUGGUUUCUGGGUUAGUGUCAGUCUCUCUAACCUCAGGUUCCAUGAGGCCAGAACUACACCUGGCGCUUCACAGAACAUGGUAGGCCACCCAAAGUAUUAUUGAAAAACGAAACAUGUACGUUUUCCUUGAAAGACAGGCCAUAGCUGUGGCACUCCCACACAAACCAGAGUCUUCCCACAGGAAGGUGACGGAUCUCGUUCUAAACUGUCCUUCCCACUGCACACUCCAACUCUGAUUGACCCGGCCCACGCCCUGUCUCUCUGGAGUUCCAGGUUGAAGUUCCAAUAUGGAGUGAGUGCACUAAUAAAUUAACCCACAAAGCAACAAAUUCUGACAGCUGCCUGGGCUGCACUACCCGGGCACCCAGCCCUGACGCACACACAGCAAGAGCCCACUUAUCAGAAGCCUCCACAAACCUCUGUCCUGCCCACUGCUAAAGACCAAGUUCCCAAUCCAGAUAACACCAGCCAGCAAGCAGUAUUUGGAGACUUGAUAUAGAGGCUGUGAGUAGGUUCUAAAAAGCUACCUCGUCCAGACUCCUCUCCCACUGCCUAAAUUUUAAACUAGACUGGCUUUGCCUUUGCUAGACAGGAAAACUCCCACUGCGCACUCCGUCUUUGAUGGCAGAGUCUGUAUUUUCUGCUUAACAAAGAAGGCUCAAGGGGCUGGGGGUAUAGCUCAGUUGCCAGAGUGCUUUUCUUGCAUCCACAGGGCCCUGGGUUCAAUCCCCAGAACCAUCACACACACACAAAAAAAGAAAGAAAGCUCAAGGAAGGCAGGACUUCAGAGAGAUGAAUGAGACCCUGUUAGUUUCCACCCCUGCACCCCAAGCUGAUGAACCUUUUCUUACUAGGCGCUGCCCACCUGAAUCAGUCUCCUUGUCUGGGAAGUUCCAGGCUUAUGGGGUGGCUGUAGGGGUGGGUGGGGGGAAGGAUUCUUAUUUAAUACAACAAAGAGUCAACAUUGUACUUUGGAAUAGUUAGAUAUUGCCAUUAAAAUGAAAAAUAAAAUAAGGAGGGCUAUAGUUACCAUUCCUUUUUUUAGGAAUUUAACCUUUACUUUUUAUUUAUCUGUUCUUUUAUGUAGUGCUGAGGAUGGAACCCAGUGGCUCACCCUUUCUCGGCAAGCGCUCUACCACAGAGCCACAGCCCAGCCCAAUACAGUUACCAUUUUUAUCUUAUUAACUCUAAGAGCCACUGUCUUCAUACCUUAGUAUUUCUGAUAUUGGAACAUGAAUUGCAUUAUAAAUGCAUUCUCAGUAUAGUGCCCUCCAUUUGUUAUUAAAUCAAGAGCAUGUUCUUAUGCUCAAUGGUCUUAGAAAAAAAAUUCACAUCCUUACACAUGAAUAUUAUGGCAUAUUCUACAUCCCCAAAAGAAAUAAGCAAUAAACUAUAGUUUUUGUUCAGAUGUGAGGUGUUCCCCAAAAGUUCAUGUGCGAGAUAACGCAAGAAUGUUCAGGGGUGAAUGAUCAGAUUAUGAGAGUCACAAUCCAGUCAGUGGUCAACCCCCUGGUGUGGAUUCACUGGUGGUAACUAGGCAGGUGGCUUGUGGCUGGAGGGAGGACUGGGGUGUGCCUUUGUCCUCUGUGAGCCUCUCUCCCACUUCCUGGUUGCCGAGUCCUGAGCUGCUUCCCUCUGCCAGCCUUCCACCAUACUGUUCACGGCAGGCCCAGAGCCAUGGGGUCAGCUGGCCGUGAACUGAGCCCCUGAAACCAUGAGCCAAAAUAGACAUUUCCUUUUUCUAGGUUGGUCUUGUCUGGUCUUUUGGUCACGGCAACACAAAGCUAACUAAAAUAACUAUUAAAAAGGAAAGAAAGGGGCUGGGAUUGUGGCUCAGCAGUAGAGCGCUCGCCUAGCACGGGCGGGGAGCGCGGGCGGGAUCCGGGUUUGAUCCUCAGCACCACAUUAAAAUAAAGGCAUUGUGUUGUGUCCAUGUACACCUAAAAAUAAUUUUUUUUGAAGAGGAGAGAAAAUGGAUUAUGUGAAGAUGAUA
rnacentral:lncRNA from 1 species